UACGGGGGGGGGCAAGCGUUGUUCGGAAUUACUGGGCGUAAAGGGCUCGUAGGCGGCCAACUAAGUCGGACGUGAAAUCCCUCGGCUUAACCGGGGAACUGCGUCCGAUACUGGAUGGCUUGAGUUUGGGAGAGGGAUGCGGAAUUCCAGGUGUAGCGGUGAAAUGCGUAGAUAAUCUGGAGGAACACCGGUGGCGAAGGCGGCAUCCUGGACCAACACUGACGCUGAUGAGCGAAAGCCAGGGGAGCAAACGGG
rnacentral:rRNA from 1 species